rnacentral:rRNA from 1 species
CCUACGGGAGACAGCAGUGGGGGAUAUUGCACAAUGGGGGGAACCCUGAUGCAGCGACGCCGCGUGGGUGAAGAAGCGCCUCGGCGCGUAAAGCUCUAUCAGCAGGAACGAGACAAGACGGUACCUGACUAAGAAGCCCCGGCUAACUACGUGCCAGCAGCCGCGGUAAUACGUAGGGGGCAAGCGUUAUCCGGAAUCACUGGGUGUAAAGGGAGCGUAGACGGCUGUGCAAGCCUGAAGUGAAAGGCGGGGGCCCAACCCCUGGACUGCUUUGGGAACUGUACGGCUGGAGUGCAGGAGAGGUAAGUGGAAUUCCUAGUGUAGCGGUGAAAUGCGUAGAUAUUAGGAGGAACACCAGUGGCGAAGGCGGCUUACUGGACUGUAACUGACGUUGAGGCUCGAAAGCGUGGGGAGCAAACAGGAUUAGAUACCCGAGUAGUC